rnacentral:rRNA from 1 species
GAUGAGCGCUGGCGGCGUGCCUAAUACAUGCAAGUCGAGCGAACGGACGAGAAGCUUGCUUUUCUGAUGUUAGCGGCGGACGGGUGAGUAACACGUGGAUAACCUACCUAUAAGACUGGGAUAACUUCGGGAAACCGGAGCUAAUACCGGAUAAUAUUUUGAACCGCAUGGUUCAAAAGUGAAAGACGGUCUUGCUGUCACUUAUAGAUGGAUCCGCGCUGCAUUAGCUAGUUGGUAAGGUAACGGCUUACCAAGGCAACGAUGCGUAGCCGACCUGAGAGGGUGAUCGGCCACACUGGAACUGAGACACGGUCCAGACUCCUACGGGAGGCAGCAGUAGGGAAUCUUCCGCAAUGGGCGAAAGCCUGACGGAGCAACGCCGCGUGAGUGAUGAAGGUCUUCGGAUCGUAAAACUCUGUUAUUAGGGAAGAACAUAUGUGUAAGUAACUGUGCACAUCUUGACGGUACCUAAUCAGAAAGCCACGGCUAACUACGUG